CCUACGGGUGGCAGCAGUAGGGAAUUUUGCGCAAUGGGCGAAAGCCUGACGCAGCAACGCCGCGUGAUCGAGACGCCCUUCGGGGUGUAAAGAUCUGUCAGUGGGGACGAAACUUGACGGUACCCACAGAGGAAGCACCGUCUAAAUCCGUGCCAGCAGCCGCGGGAAUACGGGGGGUGCAAGCGUUGUCCGGAAUCAUUGGGCGUAAAGAGGUCGUAGGCGGCACGUAAAGUCUGGUGUUAAAGGCAGGGGCUCAAACUCUGUACGGCACUGGAUACUUGCGGGCUAGAAUGCGGUAGAGGUAAAGGGAAUUCCUGGUGUAGCGGUGAAAUGCGUAGAUAUCAGGAGGAACAUCGGUGGCGUAAGCGCUUUACUGGGCCGUAAUUGACGCUGAGGAACGAAAGCCAGGGUAGCAAAUGGGAUUAGAUACCCGUGUAGUC
rnacentral:rRNA from 1 species